rnacentral:tRNA from 1 species
GCGAAGGUGGCGGAAUUGGCAGACGCACCAGAUUCAGGUUCUGGCGCCCGAAAGGGUGUAGGGGUUCAACUCCCCUCCUUCGCA